AUAACUCGCUAAGUUGCGUUUUACGUAUUUAGUGUGGAAUAAAGUUUUAGAGCAAAGUACAUAGAAGAUUCAGGAGCGAUACGAUUGGAAAAGGACCCGACAUGAGCCCUAGACAAAAAAAACUGAAGCAUAUUAAAGAAUACUGGCCUACCGGACUUCUUGAGAGGCAAAGUGACGCAAAACCCGGCCUGCCCUAGGCUCUUUGCAUAUGCAAAAACACAUAAGGAUCCACUAGCCUUCAGACCAAUUGUCGAAAAAUGUAGAUCAGCCACAUAUGACCUAGAAAAGAGGAUGGCUAGAUGGAUAAAUGCCAAUUUGCAAGGGGACACACAUGCAGUCAAGUCAUCGAAAGACUUCUUGGAUAAAUUGAAAUUAGUAAAUCUGAACGGUAACGAAGUAAUGGUAACAUAUGAUUUUGAAAAUCUUUACCCAUCGUUGAGGAUUGAAGCGGUAUGCAUGUGCCUGUACAGACUUCUACUAGAACAAGCACCAGGGACGAGUCAGAGUGUAAACUUGUACAGAGAUUUGGCG
rnacentral:lncRNA from 1 species